UGGAGAGUUUGAUCCUGGCUCAGAUUGAACGCUGGCGGCAGGCCUAACACAUGCAAGUCGAGCGGAUGAUGGGAGCUUGCUCCUUGAUUUAGCGGCGGACGGGUGAGUAAUGCCUAGGAAUCUGCCUGGUAGUGGGGGAUAACGUUCCGAAAGGAACGCUAAUACCGCGUACGUCCUACGGGAGAAAGCAGGGGACCUUCGGGCCUUGCGCUAUCAGAUGAGCCUAGGUCGGAUUAGCUAGUUGGUGAGGUAAUGGCUCACCAAGGCGACGAUCCGUAACUGGUCUGAGAGGAUGAUCAGUCACACUGGAACUGAGACACGGUCCAGACUCCUACGGGAGGCAGCAGUGGGGAAUAUUGGACAAUGGGCGAAAGCCUGAUCCAGCCAUGCCGCGUGUGUGAAGAAGGUCUUCGGAUUGUAAAGCACUUUAAGUUGGGAGGAAGGGCAGUAAGUUAAUACCUUGCUGUUUUGACGUUACCGACAGAAUAAGCACCGGCUAACUUCGUGCCAGCAGCCGCGGUA
rnacentral:rRNA from 1 species